rnacentral:rRNA from 1 species
UACGUAGGGUGCGAGCGUUAAUCGGAAUUACUGGGCGUAAAGCGUGCGCAGGCGGUUUUGUAAGCCAGGUGUGAAAUCCCCGGGCUCAACCUGGGAAUGGCAUUUGGGACUGCAAGGCUGGAGUGCGGCAGAGGAGACUGGAAUUCCUGGUGUAGCAGUGAAAUGCGUAGAUAUCAGGAGGAAUACCGAUGGCGAAGGCAGGUCUCUGGGCUGACACUGACGCUCAUGCACGAAAGCGUGGGGAGCAAACGGG